UUGCUUCAGCAGCAUAUAUACUAAAAUUGGAAUGAUGCAGAGAAGAUUAGUAUGGCCCCUGUGCAAGGGUGACAUGGAAACUCCUGAAGUGUUCCAAAUUUUU
ensembl:snRNA U6 U6 spliceosomal RNA